AUGUUGUUCAAAUUACAAAUAGAGAGUUUAUUUCUUUUUCAGAAUUUUCGCCAGGUUACAAAUAAUACAAAUAGACGUCAUUGAAGGUUGAUUGAACUCAUAAGAAUCGGUCUCUUCUUUAAUCUAUAAAAACCCAAACCCAAAAAUAGACUUGACUCCCUCUAUAAGUCCUAAAAAAGACUUAUAAAUGGACACAUUUAAACUAGAUUUGGUGGAGUGCGCCAGGCCCAUGCAAUAUUGCAACGCUUGGGCGACACUUGAGAGCCCCAAUAGCAAGCUAUUACGGUAAACCCUCCUCCUAAAGAAAUUAAUUUAAUAUCAUGUGAGCCAUUAGCCCACGUAUCAGAUAUUAAACUGAUAAGAACAGAUACUACACUUGAUCUUAGCCAAAAGGC
rnacentral:lncRNA from 1 species